rnacentral:rRNA from 1 species
AUUGAACGCUGGCGGCAUGCCUUACACAUGCAAGUCGAACGGCAGCAUGAUCUAGCUUGCUAGAUUGAUGGCGAGUGGCGAACGUGUGAGUAAUACAUCGGAACGUACCCUGUAGUGGGGGAUAACUAGUCGAAAGAUUAGCUAAUACCGCAUACGACCUGAGGGUGAAAGUGGGGGACCGCAAGGCCUCAUGCUAUAGGAGCGGCCGAUGUCUGAUUAGCUAGUUGGUGAGGUAAAGGCUCACCAAGGCGACGAUCAGUAGCUGGUCUGAGAGGACGAUCAGCCACACUGGGACUGAGACACGGCCCAGACUCCUACGGGAGGCAGCAGUGGGGAAUUUUGGACAAUGGGCGAAAGCCUGAUCCAGCAAUGCCGCGUGUGUGAAGAAGGCCUUCGGGUCGUAAAGCACUUUUGUCCGGAAAGAAAUGGCUCUGGUUAAUACCUGGGGUCGAUGACGGUACCGGAAGAAUAAGGACCGGCUAACUACGUG